rnacentral:rRNA from 1 species
UACGGAGGGGGCGAGUGUUGUUCGGAAUUAUUGGGCGUAAAGCGUCUGUAGGUGGCUUUUUAAGUCCGCCGUCAAAUCCCAGGGCUCAACUCUGGACAGGCGGUGGAAACUACCAAGCUGGAGUACGGUAGGGGCAGAGGGAAUUUCCGGUGGAGCGGUGAAAUGCGUAGAGAUCGGAAAGAACACCAACGGCGAAGGCAGCUCGCUGGGACGGUACUGACGCUGAGGCGCGAAAGCGUGGGGAGCAAACAGG